rnacentral:rRNA from 1 species
AGCGUAGGAGCUAUAAUGCAGUCGACGAGCUUCCGUUGAUGACGUGCUUGCACUGAUUUCAACAAUGAAGCGAGUGGCGAACUGGUGAGUAACACGUGGGAAAUCUGCCCAGAAGCAGGGGAUAACACUUGGAAACAGGUGCUAAUACCGUAUAACAACAAAAUCCGCAUGGAUUUUGUUUGAAAGGUGGCUUCGGCUAUCACUUCUGGAUGAUCCCGCGGCGUAUUAGUUAGUUGGUGAGGUAAAGGCCCACCAAGACGAUGAUACGUAGCCGACCUGAGAGGGUAAUCGGCCACAUUGGGACUGAGACACGGCCCAAACUCCUACGGGAGGCAGCAGUAGGGAAUCUUCCACAAUGGACGAAAGUCUGAUGGAGCAAUGCCGCGUGAGUGAAGAAGGGUUUCGGCUCGUAAAACUCUGUUGUUAAAGAAGAACACCUUUGAGAGUAACUGUUCAAGGGUUGACGGUAUUUAACCAGAAAGCCACGGCUAACUACGUGCCAGCAGCCGCGGUAAUACGUAGGUGGCAAGCGUUGUCCGGAUUUAUUGGGCGUAAAGCGAGCGCAGGCGGUUUUUUAAGUCUGAUGUGAAAGCCUUCGGCUUAACCGGAGAAGUGCAUCGGAAACUGGGAGACUUGAGUGCAGAAGAGGACAGUGGAACUCCAUGUGUAGCGGUGGAAUGCGUAGAUAUAUGGAAGAACACCAGUGGCGAAGGCGGCUGUCUAGUCUGUAACUGACGCUGAGGCUCGAAAGCAUGGGUAGCGAACAGGAUUAGAUACCCUGGUAGUCCAUGCCGUAAACGAUGAGUGCUAAGUGUUGGAGGGUUUCCGCCCUUCAGUGCUGCAGCUAACGCAUUAAGCACUCCGCCUGGGGGAGUACGACCGCAAGGGUUGAAACUCAAAGGAAAUUGACGGGGGCCCGCACAAGCGGUGGAGCAUGUGGGUUUAAAUUCGAAAGCUACGCGAAGAACCCUUACCAGGUCCUUGACAUCCUUCCUGCCCAAUCUUUAGAGAUAGACGUUUCCCUUCGGGGGACAGAAUGACAGGGUGGCUGCAUGGCUGGUCGGUUCAGCUUCGUUGUUCGUUGAGAUGUUGGGGAUCAGUUCCGCCAACUGAGCGCAAUCCAUGAAUUAAUCAGGUUGACCAGC